UUUAUGUUAACACAGAGAGAAAAUGAACUCUUUUAACCUACUCUUUGAGGAUCAAUGGAUAAUGGCUGAAUUAAAGUGGAAUAGCUCUGCCCUGCUUUGCUGUUGCUGCUGAACUCUUCGUUGGCUGGGGCUCCAAUGAUGCAGUCUUCAGAGAUUAGAGGGGAGCAGACACCAGAUCCUGGUGGAGAAACAAAAUGUAAACCCAUCCAGAAAAAGUGGAUUGGAUUAAUUAGGAUGCCAACACUGAUGUGGUUUUUGCCCAAGUUAGCAUUCUUCUUCACAUAAAAGGAAGGUUUUGCAACAAAUGAACAACAAAUUACUAUGGGGGGAAAACCCAACAACCUCUGCAAAUAGCAAACUUAGAGUGUUGAUCCUUAUGUUGUCAAAGCACACUCAACAAGCAAACUGCAGUCUCCAGAGAAGCCCAAGGUUUGCAGAAAUACUUAUGUCCAAGUUCCAAAGAAUGCUAAUUGUCUGAUGUGAGAAUAGAAUGAGAUAUAACUGGGUGGCUUCCUGAAGAAAGAAAUAUGAUACUACCACCUUUGGAUUCAGAUCCCACUUAGAGGAAGGCUGUAGGAGAGAGGAUUGCAAGCAAGAGACUCCAGGUUCAAUCUGAAUAGGUGUGCUUAGUGAAAGUCCAUUGUGUGAACAAGGACUUGAAAGAGUUAAGAUUCAAGCCACAUGGAGCUUUCCGAUGGAGCAUUCCCUUGGACUGUAUACCAAAGCAAUUAGAAGACAGAAGCACUUUUUUUUUGCCUAAGCUGGGUAAUAUGGCCCCAACACCUAACACAUGCUAAAGCAGAGCAAGCUGCACCUGCUGUGGCUUCCAAGAAGUCUUCAAGAGUGGCACUACACGCAGCACAUUGCGGUAAUAUUAUCUGACUUUUUGCAGAAUGAAAAAAGGCCUGAAUGUGAAGGAAACUUGUAAUCAUUCCACCAGGUGCAAAUGGAGGGGAGCUUUUGGCCUCAAUAGGCAACCAUUUCCCACCUUGAGACCAAUUCUGAAGGCUGUAAUCCAGAAUCCCUUGUAAAUGCAAUACACUUUUGCAGAUGCGAUUAUACAAAACCCAUAGGACAUGAUCCCCAACCUUAGAUGACAAUGGACUGGAAAUCGAUUUCAUGU